AUUGAACGCUGGCGGCAUGCCUUACACAUGCAAGUCGAACGGUAACAGGUCUUCGGAUGCUGACGAGUGGCGAACGGGUGAGUAAUACAUCGGAACGUGCCCGAUCGUGGGGGAUAACGAGGCGAAAGCUUUGCUAAUACCACAUACGAUCUACGGAUGAAAGCGGGGGAUCUUCGGACCUCGCUCGGACGGUGCGGCCGAUGGCAGAUUAGGUAGUUGGUGGGAUAAAAGCUUACCAAGCCGACGAUCUGUAGCUGGUCUGAGAGGAUGAUCAGCCACACUGGGACUGAGACACGGCCCAGACUCCUACGGGAGGCAGCAGUGGGGAAUUUUGGACAAUGGGCGAAAGCCUGAUCCAGCCAUGCCGCGUGCAGGAUGAAGGCCUUCGGGUUGUAAACUGCUUUUGUACGGAACGAAAAGCCUCUUUCUAAUAAAGAGGGGUCAUGACGGUACCGGAAGAAUAAGCACCGGCUAACUACGUG
rnacentral:rRNA from 1 species